CCCUCCCCGCCUGCUGCUCCCUCUUCUGGGCCUCUCCUCCCUACUGUCUGCUCUCUUAGGCUGGUUUGUUAUGGCAUGAAAGAUGGCUCCGUGGAAUAAAGAUGUUUCCCCUCUGAUGAGCACAUUUGCAGAAGGAGGAGGAUUGACACCAGCCACACGUAUGUCUGCUGCUGACAAAUGUGCGCACGCCUUGGAGGGCGGGGCCAGGCAGGACAGAGCCGCCCAUGACAGGGGGACACCUCCUGGUUUAGUGCACUUAUCAAAGAGACAUCGGAGAGAUCCCUUGUGCCUUCUGCCAUGUGAGUUAUAGUGAGAAGACAGCCAUCUACUAGGAAUCAGACCGUCAUCAGACACCAAAUCUGCCAGCACCUUGAUCUUAGAUUUCCCAGACUCCAGAACUGUUAGAAAUAAAUUUCUGUUGUUUAUAAGCCA
rnacentral:lncRNA from 1 species